AUCCCACGAUGAGGACACAAAGUAACUCCUUGAAUCACUCCCAAGCCUCAUAUAAAGACUCGUCAUCCAAUUUUUAGAAAGUUGUUAUCUCAUUCCUCAACUU
rfam:Gossypium arboreum cultivar AKA8401 contig_10532_7, whole genome shotgun sequence.